AUUGAACGCUGGCGGCAUGCUUUACACAUGCAAGUCGAACGGUAACAGGCCUUCGGGUGCUGACGAGUGGCGAACGGGUGAGUAAUGCAUCGGAACGUACCCAGAGGUGGGGGAUAACGCAGCGAAAGCUGUGCUAAUACCGCAUGUGAUCUGAGGAUGAAAGCGGGGGACCGAGCAGCAAUGUUUGGCCUCGCGCCUUUGGAGCGGCCGAUGUCGGAUUAGCUAGUUGGUGGGGUAAAGGCCUACCAAGGCGACGAUCCGUAGCUGGUCUGAGAGGACGACCAGCCACACUGGGACUGAGACACGGCCCAGACUCCUACGGGAGGGAGCAGUGGGGAAUUUUGGACAAUGGGCGCAAGCCUGAUCCAGCAAUGCCGCGUGCGGGAAGAAGGCCUUCGGGUUGUAAACCGCUUUUGGCAGGAACGAAACGGUGUCCGCUAAUACCGGGCGCUAAUGACGGUACCUGCAGAAUAAGCACCGGCUAACUACGUG
rnacentral:rRNA from 1 species